UCAUUGUAUAAGCCGGUGUUUGCAGGUGUGGCAUCAUCAAGAUUCACAUGGAUUACACAGUUGUUUUGAUCAGUGAGAAUCUUGAUGAUGCUGCAUCGGCAAAUACGCGACUGUG
rnacentral:pre_miRNA from 15 species